CUGCUCAAUGCAUUGUAAAUAGCCGCAGUACCCUGACUGUGCUAAGGUAGCAUAAUCAUUAGUCUCUUAAUUAGAGGCUGGUAUGAAUGGUGAGACGAGAAAAAAGCUGUCUCUAAAGUAGCUAUCGAAUUUCAUUUUUAAGUGAAAAAGCUUAAAUAUUUUUGGAGGACGAUCAGACCCUUUGGAGCUUUAUUUUGUUUUGAUUUUAGGUUAUUUUUAAAUAACAAAAGUUUUAGCAAAAUUUUGUUGGGGCGACAGAAAGUUAUUGAGAAACACUUUUUUUAAAAACCACUCAUUAGUGAAAAAUUGAUCCCCACAGAGGGAUUAAAAGACUAAGUUACCCUAGGGAUAACAGCGUAAUCUUUUUGGAGAGUUCAUAUCGAUAAAAAGGUUUGCGACCUCGAUGUUGGAUUAAGAAAUUAGCAAGGUGCAGAAGUUUUGCUGGAAAGUCUGUUCGACUUU
rnacentral:rRNA from 1 species